AAACUGUCAAAAGAGGGUGAGAAAAGUUCAACAAAAAGGAACAAAAUUACAUAAAAGGUCUUCUAGGCGACAGGGAUCAUCUCAGGGUAAUCUACGGCUGUGAGGGGAGCUUCGGGUACAAAAGCAGCCGGAGCAUCAACCUGAGCAGGUGCAGAGUUUACUUCUUCUUCCUUGGGAGUAUGGAUGAUGACAACAUCAGGUAACGGUGUCUUUGGUCCCGUUACUCCCUUAGGGUCCCAGUCAAGCAUGACCUUCACCUUGAUUCCGAGCACACCCUGCACAUACAUUUGAGGUUUAACCAGAAGACUAGAAUUAGACACUGCUUGCCGGUUUACUUUACUCAACCAAACAAGCCAGUCAGAAGAAACUCUCACCUGUCUAAGGAGAACAUGUCUGACAGCAGAGUCGAUGUACUCCUUGGUAGGUUGACCAGAGGAAACCAUGUAACCGUCCUUGAAUUUCAUGGACUUGGCACGCGCAGCACGGAGCUUUCCACUCACAAUCACCUGAGAGCAAGCAUGUGCGUUAAGAGAAAUGAGUAAUGCCUGAGACUUAUGGGGAGAAAAAAAAAAUUAAAAACAAUAUAGAGAAUAGUGGGAUUAGUACUCACCUCACAUCCCUUAGCUCCGCUCUCCAUGACGAAUCUCAAGACACCAUAGCAAGCCCUAUACACAACACAAGACCAUUGCAAUAUUAAACAUCCAAGAGCAUGAAAAUGACAAUGAGCAAUAUAAAGUACUAAGCAACCAGCCAAAACCUAGCUUGAACCAUAUGCAUCAAUGCUACCAAUAUAAAGAGUGUAACUUCUCUAGAGGGUCCAAUAAAGAUACUUAAAUGCCUCCAAGGUAACCCCAUAUACAAACAUUUGUCACCCACAAUUCUUAAUUCCUAAAAUUAUAACAUUCAUCCAAUAAAUUAGGUAAUGUGACUCAUCAUAUGGAAUAACAAACUAGCAAAUUCAUUACCUCAAUACACCUACAAACUUCAAUCAAACAAAAAAAACAGUACAAGAACUCAGAAAUGUAUAGGUUACAUGUCACUAUAUCAAUACCUGCGAACAGCCAGACCACCGAGGAGCUUGUAACGGAGAGACUCAGCCUGAGCAAUGGCGCAGGGACCUCUGUUGGCAACCUUCUCAGCGUAAAGCUCAACACUGUCUUGAGGAAACCUGAAUCUCUUCUGCACAAGCGAUGUCAGCUCCCUAAUCCUCCUCCCCUUCUCACCUACAUAAAAAAAAACGAUCUUUAUGAGAUUCCAUACAUAAAGUUCCAAACUUUCAGUUCCAAAUAACUAUCUACACAUAUUACCUAGAACAUUUUGAGUACGAGUGGCUCUGAUGAUAAUCUCAGUCCUCAUUGGAGUGACCCUAACCUCCACACCUGAGUAUCCAUCCUCUGCCAGCUCCCUAGUGAGCACCUCAUUCAACUCGGCGUAGAACACACCGUCCGCUACAAACUAUAACAAAAAAAUUCAACACAGAUACAGUUCAAUAUACGAUGCUUCGAUAGAGAUCAACUCAACCAAAAAGAAAAAGAAAUUACAAUCGACCUUUCUCUUCUUGCUGAUCUGAGUCGCCAUGAUGUUGAAAUGUAAAUCUGCUUAACGCUGGAACCAAGGAGGAGCUGUGAUCUCGAGAGAAUGGUGGUGAAAGGUCUGGUGCGUUAUCACAUUUUUAGAUGUUAGUAUUUAUAUCUAGGUUAGAUACUCAAUUCACUAGUUUAUUGGGCCCAAUAGAUUAAUGGGCCUUUUCUUCUUACAUAAAUGGGCUUUAAGUGAACGACAAGUAUUCUUUCUUCCAUCUAGUCAAAAAAAUGAACUUUCACCAAAAAAAGUAUCGUUUCUCCUCUGUUUCUUUAUUACUAAAACAAAUAGUUAAAUACUAUCUUUUAGGUUAGGUGUCGUUUUCUUACCAUAUACUACUAGUUUAUUGAAAAGUAACAGCCAAGAAAUAUCGACGGUUUGAUUACAAGAUUUUGAAUAAACAUGUGUUACGAAACAAAUCAUUUUAUACUAAUAGUGAUUGUGUGUCAACGUAGGUGUAUGUGAACGGGAAGAACACGGCGCCGUUAUACAAAUAUGUGAAAGCAGAGAAAGGAGGUUUGCUGAUUGACGCAAUCAAAUGGAACUUUACAAAGUUCUUGAUUUUCUCCUGACGGCAAAGUCUUCCAGAGAUACUCGCAUAGAACAUCACCUCUUGAAUUGGAGGUACGUACAAGGCCCCGGUUUAGAGCUAACCGGUUUUAUUUGGAUUGUGCAGAAACACAUUCAAACUCUGUUGGGACAGGCUUCUUCUUGAAUCAUCAACUGAAGUUUCAAGAACGGGUUUUAUCUAUAUUUAUUCAACCUCUUGUUUUCAAUUAUCGACAUUGCAAAACAUAUCUUCUCUGAAUCUGUAUUCUAAAUAAAAUGUUACUCGUCUUCUCAUUGUUGACAUGUCGUUCGCAUGGAUGAAAAAUGCAUUUAUUAUCACGUGACUCAGUUAAAAGCUGACACUAAAAAGUUAGAUUGAGAAAGAAAUCAUAUUCGCCGUUAUUAGAAAAGUUGGAUACGUAACAGAACACGUGAAAGUACGAUCAUGUCUGCCCUAUCGUACACGACACGUUGAGCGUGUUCACAAUUAUGACCACAAAGUUUCUGAUUCUUUUCCCACAAACGGGAAAGAAAAAAAGAAUCACAAGUACAUCUUGUAACUGAAGCAAAGUCGCGAGUUUUGCCAUCAUCUAAGCUUAAUCACCAAUGAUUCAAAAACAAGAUCAUGAAACAGAAGAUUAACUUGUUAAUCAAAACUCUGACAGUUAGAUGAUCAAGUUACCUCAGCCACAACAAAUCAGAGGACUUCAAAAACACAGUUGUUUCUUUGUCUCUCUCAGUCUCAUCACUGCAUAUAACGAGGACAAUGAACUCUAUUCAGAUGUUAGAUGUUAAAGUAACCCUUUAUUGCACUUAAACGUAGAGAUCAGUCAGGAGAAUUUGUAGACAAAUAAUAUGAAAAUUUUAUUCAGUGGCACAUUUAUUUCCAAUUUCAUUGUCAAAUAAGACUAAUACACAUGCAUAAAAAAAAAGGAUUAAACUUAAAGCCGAACCAGUUUCUCCAUGGACACACAAUGCAGGUCUAUUCUUCAGCUAACAGUGGCAGAGACUUCAUUCAUGCAAAAAAAGGUCUUCAGAAGAAUGUUUCUGGUUCACCCAAUAUGUUCAGACAAGAUGAUGGUAGCUGUUCAGCUACACAACCGGACAGUGCAAGCUACAGCUUGUGCCCAGUAUUUGAGUCUAGCUUUUACAUCAUCUGGAUUAUCACCUGAAUCAAAAACAUUUUUUAUAUAUAUAAAAAAAAAAGAAUUAAAAAAAAAGAAACAAAGAUUUUACCAACCAAAAUGUUCUUUAAAUGGAAUCAAGAUUUACUUACCAGGGCUAGAGAUCUUCCAGUUUGCAACUGGGUUGGUAGUGGACGGUGGCGGCGGCGAAGCCUCUUCAGCCAGACACAUCUCCGGCGACUUCUGGUUUUGUUGAUCAUCCAAGAACUUCUGGCUCAUGGAGUAACAAAGCUCUAAAGCAGGCAAAGUGUUGCAAAGCUCAGGGAUCUCCUCGUAGCUGAACCCAAAACCUAGAUCUAAACAGCCUUUAAGCUCCUCGAGAUCGUCAUCCGUCAAGCUCUUACCUCUCGUAAGAUCUUCUCGAUCAUUAUCAGCAGCAGAAGCUUCGACGUAUCCCUCAAGCAACACUUGGCUCUUCCUCUUCUCAAGCUUGUUCUUCCUACUCUCUCCGGCGAAAUGACCACCACCUCCGCGUGUCUCGAUCUCCGCCCAAGCUUCCUGGAUCCCUCAGUGCUCGUGCUGUUGUGAAGCUGUGUUGGAUGUUUCUUCGUCUUGGACAGAGCGUGUCCAUUGAUAUUUUGAUGACUCGAAGUGAAUACAACCCAUCUCUCUUUCUUUCUUUAGAAUGAUCGUCUUCUUUGUUCUAAUAAGGGUGUUUUUUCUUAUCGGAGGUGAAUGGUGAGGAGAAGUUGUUAAUAAAGAGAGAUGAUUUGUGUGACUUUUCUUAGAAAAGAAGCUUCAAUUAUUGGGUUGGCAAGUGGCAUCUCCUUCUUGUUAUGCCAUCUUCUGUGGGCCAUGGUUAUGAUUCUAUUACAUGUGUGUGUCUCAGACAGACACGAUGGCUUUACUAUUUGAUUCUGAAUUUUCACCUAUUUUAAAAAUAAUAAAAAAAGCAUAUUGGGAUCUUGGUUUUGAUUUUAAUCUUAUUUAGAACAACAUGAUCAUCGAACUUCAAGAAUUAUUAGAAUCGCUUGAAGAAUAUACUUUUCUUGAACUUCAAGAAUUAGAAGUUCUUCAACUAAAUUCUUUUAUAUGUUUAGUAACUGGGAUCUGUUAUUUCAAAUUGGUUUGUAUAUCGCAAAUACAAAAGCUUUCUUGAAAAUGAAAACGAGAAAUAAACUUUUGGAUCCAAAAGCCCUUACACUGGAAACUUCUUGAGAUAAUUUUAGAAAUAAAAUUUGGAAAGGAGUCUGAUUCCAAGAACAAAAAAAAGAACAAAAUCAAAUGGAAUAGUAGUAAAAAAAAAGGUUUUCCUUUCUAGGCGACAGGGAUCAUCUCAGGGUAAUCUACGGCUGUGAGGGGAGCUUCGGGUACAAAAGCAGCCGGAGCAUCAACCUGAGCAGGUGCAGAGUUUACUUCUUCUUCCUUGGGAGAAUGGAUGAUGACAACAUCAGGCAAUGGUGUCUUUGGUCCAUUUAUUCCCUUAGGGUCCCAGUCAAGCAUGACCUUCACCUUGAUUCCGAGCACGCCCUGCACAUACGUUUGAGGUUUAGAAUUAGACAUCUUUUGUCGAUUUA
rnacentral:lncRNA from 1 species